rnacentral:rRNA from 1 species
UCCAGACUCCUACGGGAGGCAGCAGUGGGGAAUAUUGCACAAUGGGGGAAACCCUGAUGCAGCAACGCCGCGUGAGUGAGGAAGUAUUUCGGUAUGUAAAGCUCUAUCAGCAGGGAAUAGAAAAGAAGGUACCUGAAAAAGAAGCUCCGGCUAACUACGUGCCAGCAGCCGCGGUAAUACGUAGGGAGCAAGCGUUAUCCGGAAUUAUUGGGUGUAAAGGGUGCGUAGACGGGAGUCUAAGUUAGUUGUGAAAUCCCUCGGCUCAACUGAGGAACUGCAACUAAAACUGGACAUCUUGAGUGCAGGAGAGGAAAGUGGAAUUCCUAGUGUAGCGGUGAAAUGCGUAGAUAUUAGGAGGAACACCAGUGGCGAAGGCGACUUUCUGGACUGUAACUGACGUUGAGGCACGAAAGUGUGGGGAGCAAACAGGAUUAGAUACCCGUGUACG